CCUACGGGAGGCAGCAGUGAGGAAUAUUGGUCAAUGGGCGGGAGCCUGAACCAGCCAAGCCGCGUGCGGGAAGAAGGUACAGCUUAUCGUACCCCUCUUUUGUCAGGGAACACAGGCGGGGACUCGUCCCCGGAUGAGGGUACCUUAAGAAAAAGCAUCGGCUAACUCCGUGCCAGCAGCCGCGGUAAUACGGAGGAUGCGAGCGUUCUCCGGAUUUAUUGGGUUUAAAGGGUGCGCAGGCGGCCUGUUAAUUCAGCGGUAAAAGCCCGGGGCUCAACCCCGGCGAGACGUUGAAACUGGCGGGCUGGAGUUGGAGAGAAGUACGCGGAAUGCGCGGUGUAGCGGUGAAAUGCUGAGAUAUCGCGCAGAACCCCGAUGGCGAAGGCAGCGUACCGGCUCCAAACUGACGCUGAGGCACGAAAGCGUGGGUAUCGAACAGGAUUAGAUACACUAGUAGUC
rnacentral:rRNA from 1 species